UACGGGAGGCAGCAGUGGGGAAUAUUGCACAAUGGGCGAAAGCCUGAUGCAGCUAUGCCGCGUGUAUGAAGAAGGCCUUAGGGUUGUAAAGUACUUUCAUCGGGGAGGAAAAAACAAAACUAAUAAUUUUAUUUCUUGACGUUACCCGAAAAAGAAGCACCGGCUAACUCCGUGCCAGCAGCCGCGGUAAUACGGUGGGUGCUAGCGUUAAUCAGAAUUACUGGGCGUAAAGAGCACGUAGGUGGUUUUUUUAAGUCAGAUGUGAAAUCCCUGGGCUUAACCUGGAACUGCAUUUUGAAACUGAAAUACUAGAGUAUCGUAGAGGGAGGUAGAAUUCUAGGUGUAGCGGUGAAAUGCGUAGAUAUCUGGAGGAAUACCUGUGGCGAAAGCGGCCUCCUAAACGAAUACUGACACUGAGGGUGCGAAAGCGUGGGGAGCAAACAGGGAUUAGAUACC
rnacentral:rRNA from 1 species